rnacentral:rRNA from 1 species
GUGAGGAAUAUUGGUCAAUGGGCGAGAGCCUGAACCAGCCAAGUCGCGUGAAGGAAGAAGGAUCUAUGGUUCGUAAACUUCUUUUGCAGGGGAAUAAAGUGCGGGACGUGUCCUGUUUUGUAUGUACCCUGAGAAUAAGGAUCGGCUAACUCCGUGCCAGCAGCCGCGGUAAUACGGAUGAUCCGAGCGUUAUCCGGAUUUAUUGGGUUUAAAGGGUGCGUAGGUGGUUUGAUAAGUCAGCGGUGAAAGUUUGCAGCUUAACUGUAAAAAUGCCGUUGAAACUGUCGGACUUGAGUGUAAAUGAGGUAGGCGGAAUGCGUGGUGUAGCGGUGAAAUGCAUAGAUAUCACGCAGAACUCCGAUUGCGAAGGCAGCUUACUAAGCUACAACUGACACUGAAGCACGAAAGCGUGGGGAUCAAACAGGAUUAGAAACCCGAGUAGUCC